UGACUGACGGGAAUUAAUCACAGUGUGAGGCCAGGAGGUGUGUUAAGACAAAUAAAAUUCAUCCAGAGGAAAACCUCGCUGAUCGUGAUGUGCCGGUUGGAGUUUGCAUCAGUCCUUAUGCAGUGUACCUGAUGACAGAGAAAACCAAAGGAGACCAGAGUCGUGUUUGCCUCAGGAUGGCUGGCUGUGUGUGUGUGUGUGUGUGUGUGUGUGUGUAUGACACGGUGUCACCCAUAUAAUGGGGCUACUGCUCUGCCGAGACACAGCUCAAAGGACUCCCUUCACAGCUCCAGGGCAAACAAAAGAUGUAAAUGCCUUCGUGAUUUGCCAUAUAGUGAAAGGGGUUUCCGACGCGAGAGUCAUCCGCUGCACGCAUCACACGCAUCUCCCCGGUCCUGCCGCUCUGACGCAUGUCUUCCUUGUGUUUCAUCAGCCAUCACGCCUCCGGGUGUGUGGUGACGCAGAUGCUGUGUGGGCACCCUAAAUCCAGACUACCUCACUGGGUUAAUGGGAGUUCAGUUUAAAGGGAACCCCUUGCUUAAAAGUAAUUCACAGGUAUUUUAUUUUAGACUAAAUUUAUUAAUAAAUUGUAAAC